UCAGGAUGAACGCUGGCGGCGUGCUUAACACAUGCAAGUCGAACGGAGUUUACAUGAAACCUAGUGAUUGUAAACUUAGUGGCGGGCGGGUGAGUAACGCGUGGGUAACCUGCCGUAUGCCGGGGGACAACAGUUGGAAACGACUGCUAAUACCGCAUAAGCGCACAGGAUCGCAUGAUCCAGUGUGAAAAACUCCGGUGGCAUACGAUGGACCCGCGUCUGAUUAGGCAGUUGGUGAGGUAACGGCCCACCAAACCUACGAUCAGUAGCCGGCCUGAGAGGGUGAACGGCCACAUUGGGACUGAGACACGGCCCAAACUCCUACGGGAGGCAGCAGUGGGGAAUAUUGCACAAUGGGGGAAACCCUGAUGCAAGCGACGCCGCGUGAGUGAAGAAGUAUUUCGGUAUGUAAAGCUCUAUCAGCAGGAAAGAAAAUGACGGUACCUGACUAAGAAGCCCCGGCUAACUACGUGCCAGCAGCAGC
rnacentral:rRNA from 1 species